rnacentral:lncRNA from 1 species
UUGGUGUGAGAAUGAAGGUUCUGCAGGUUUCAAUAUAUAGGGUUGGAAGUCGUGGAUGGGGUCUAUGACUUCAUCAAACUCAUGGAUGGGGUCAACGAAUUCGUACCUGGCAAUGGUACUUGUGCCCUAGCCACACAUGAGAUUCCCUGGCUUAACCUAGCCUGGGCCACGACUCGUGGUUGAAUUCAAAUUUCAGAAAACAUACAAUAUACCCACG